AUUCCCCUAGUAACGGCGAGUGAAGCGGGAAGAGCUCAAAUUUAAAAUCUCACCGGUUUCCGGUGCGAAUUGUAGUUUCAAGAAACGUUUUCUGUGACAGCUUGCGAUCAAGUCCGCUGGAACGCGGCGCCAGAGAGGGUGAGAGCCCCGUUGGUUGCGAGACAUGUUGCUCUACGAGGCGUUUUCGAAGAGUCGGAUAGUUUGGGAUUGCUGUCCAAAAUGGGUGGUAAAUACCAUCUAAAGCUAAAUAACGGCGAGAGACCGAUAGCGAACAAGUACCGUGAGGGAAAGAUGAAAAGAACUUUGAAAAGAGAGUUAAACAGUACGUGAAAUUGUCAAAAGGGAAACGCUUGAAACCAGUAUUGGGGUUCGCAACUCAGCCAGUUUUGGUGCACUUUGCGGAUUCCGGGUCAGCAUCGGUUUGGUUUGGCGUAAAAAGCGCUCGGAAGGUAGCCCCUUGGGGUGUUAUAGCCGAGCGUCAUGCGCUGGACUGGACCGAGGACUGCAGCCUUGUAACGGGGAACGCGCCGCCUCUGACGACGCGCUGCUAGACUACAUGUAGACUAGCGGCGUUGCUCCAGGAGCCCGGUGCGGUACCACUCAGGGCUUAGGAUGCUGACGAAAUGGUUUUAAACGACCCGUCUUGAAACACGGACCAAGGAGUCCAACACAUAUGCGAGUGUUUGGGUGGCAAACCCGAGCGCGGAAUGAAAGUGAAUGGAGGUGGGAUUCUUCGGAAGCACCAUCGACCGGUCUGGAUUUCUUUGAAAGAUCUGAGUAAGAGCAUAUUUGUUGGGACCCGAAAGAUGGUGAACUAUGCCUGAAUAGGGUGAAGUCAGAGGAAACUCUGAUGGAAGCUCGUAGCGGUUCUGACGUGCAAAUCGAUCGUCAAAUUUGGGUAUAGGGGCGAAAGACUAAUCG
rnacentral:rRNA from 1 species